rnacentral:rRNA from 1 species
AGUAAAUUGGUUAAGUUAGAAAGGGCGCACGGUGGAUGCCUUGGCACUAGGAGCCGAAGAAGGACGGGACUAACACCGAUAUGCUUUGGGGAGCUGUACGUAAGCGUUGAUCCAGAGAUUUCCGAAUGGGGGAACCCACUAUCUUUAGUCGGAUAGUAUCCUUACGUGAAUACAUAGCGUGAGGAAGGCAGACCCAGGGAACUGAAACAUCUAAGUACCUGGAGGAAGAGAAAGAAAAAUCGAUUUCCUGAGUAGCGGCGAGCGAAACGGAAAGAGCCCAAACCAAGAAGCUUGCUUCUUGGGGUUGUAGGACACUCUAUACGGAGUUACAAAAGAAAGUUAUAAAUGAAGCGGUCUGGAAAGGCCCGCCAAAGACGGUAACAGCCCGGUAGUUGAAAUGGCUUUCCCUCCAGAGUGGAUCCUGAGUACGGCGGAACACGUGAAAUUCCGUCGGAAUCCGGGAGGACCAUCUCCCAAGGCUAAAUACUCCCUAGUGACCGAUAGUGAACCAGUACCGUGAGGGAAAGGUGAAAAGCACCCCGGAAGGGGAGUGAAACAGUUCCUGAA